UAAAACCCUGAAAGCAGCAAUUUGUCAGACAGCAUCAGGACUGUUAGUCUUGUCACAAUACCAGAGAAGUUAAGGCCAGAUUUUCUCACAGUGGAGCACCAUGGCACAAAAGAUUGAGCUUUCUGUCUUCUCCACUACACAUGAGCCUGGGAGAGCUGAAACAAACAACGGUAACACUGGACAUUCAGGUGCAACAUCCAUGCAGAGAAGACUUCUCAGAAUUGGGAUUAUAACGUUAGGAGUGUUGUGUAUCAUACAAGCCACACUCAAUAUCUCCCUGCGCCUUGUCUUUUAUUCGAAAGAAGACAGGGAUCCGUUUUCUUUCAACAGCUCCAUAAUAGCAGACAUGUGCCAGAUUGACCAGUCUCAACAUAAUUCAACCCAGUUAUGUUCCUGCUGCAACAACCUGCUAAGAAGACUACUGAGACAAUAUCAGGACUUGAAAACAGAGAGAGAUCGCCUGUACAAUGAGCUCAUUCAAAUGACUACAAAGGAUGACGAUUCCCAGGAUGGGUCUGGUUUCUCGGGUGUUUAUUCUGACUACUUAUUCUGAAGUUCAGUGCAGACCACUCUCACGCACUGUGAUCAAGACUAUGGGGCUUCAUGCAGACAACAGCAGUUUGCCCACAGCUGGAUUGGCCUAUUUAGCACUCUAUUAACUAAAAGGACAGCUGCAGUUCCGCUUUACUCAUCGAGACAGCUAUUAAAGCCCUGUGCUGUACUGUGACUAGCUGGUUGACACAAAGGCCAUAGGAGUUAGUGGAGAUGAGACCAGGAGCAGAAAUAAAAGCUAACAUUGUUUCAUCUCUGCUUGAUGUGUUAACUGUUAACUUAAUAGGUGAUAAUAGGUUAAUAUUUGUUUUUAAGUUGACCAAAACAAUAAUAAAUGUAGGUUUAAAUAAACAUUUUUGGCCAUAGCCUGUAAAAUUGCUUUAAAAUGCAUGUAUCUAUUUUUUUUAAAUUAAUAAAACCGUAAAACAAUAAAAUACAAAGUAUUUUUACAAGAUAAGUUAUUUGUAUAUUCUCAGUUUCAUAUUCCUGGCUAUGUCACUUUUCUCAUGAAACAGCUUAGCUCAUCAUUUUGGCUCAUCUGCUGCUCAUAUAUGUAUAUAUAUAUAUAUAAAUAACAGCAGAGAGAAGUGAAACCUGGCUAAGAUAUUUUUUUGAAACAUUUUGGUCGUUUUGACCAAAUUCACAUCCUCUUGUGGAAUGUCCAGUCAGUGAAUAAACCUGUUGCCUGGCUGUUGUAGCAGUGUCAUGCUGUAUUCUUUUAGGAAACACUAAGUUGGUAUCAAACGUGCAAUAAUAAUAAUAAUCUGAUGGGCUCAUUCUGAUCCCCCUCAAUCAGGCGAGGUACACCAGAUGUAGGCCAGAUGUAGGGGUGUGACCCUUACAUACCAAGCAGCAGAACCCUGCUUAUAUAAAUCCAGAAAGGUUGUUGUUCAACUAACCUUAAUUGCUUAAUCUGAAUGAUAAAAUAAGGCUUUCUCUUACUAUAUUAAAGGCAACCUGCCUCACAUGGGAAAGUGCAGGGGAGCUCUCAUGUAAAAAACAAAAAAAAACAAAACAAAAAAUAAAUAAAGGAUUCUGCUUGGAGUUAUUCAUCA